rnacentral:rRNA from 1 species
AUGGAUGCACCUAAGCCAUUCCAAUGGAUAUGGAAAUCAUGCACUCCGCCUAAGAAAAAAUUCUUCUUCUGGUCACUCCUGCAGGACAGGCUUCACAUAAGAGAUCUCCUCACCAGGAAAAAUUUCCACAUCCAAUCUACUUCAUGUGUUUUAUGUGAUGAUGAACCCAAUGAACACUUGAUGCCUCUUUUUUUCAGCUGUGAUUUUAGUUCAAAUUUCUGGAUGAACAUUGGAUUCCAAUGGAAUACAGACUAUGAUCUCGUUGAUAUUUUGUUGGAUGGCAGAAGGCACAACAAUAUUAUGUGCUAUAAGGAAUGCUUGAUUGCAGGUUGUUGGAGCCUAUGGAAACACAUGAAUGGUAUUAUAUUUGAUCACAAGGAAAAGAAUAUGGCUUUUUGUAUAAGUUCUUUCAAAGAACACUUUGGCAUGAUCAUCAAGAAAGCAAAACCUAGCCUAAAGGAGGGAAUGCAAAGCUGGCUAGACUACGUGUAG